rnacentral:lncRNA from 1 species
GGCUUCAACUCGUGUGCUGGUAGUGUGAGGGCACCUUCAGGGUCAGCAAUUUUGUUCUCAUCCUCCCAGACCGCUGGGAUGUCGUCUACAUGUUUGACGUGCAUUUUCGGAGCUGGCUGCGGUCCUUCUACCAUUGUUUGCUCCAUUUGCCUUAGAAGGAUCUCUGCUAGUGUCCCUACCAUAGAGCUGCCAAUAUUUUAUCAAGACACACAAACAUCCCAUUGCUGCUAGGCUCAUAGUAGAAAAAUUGAAGGCAUCCACAUAUGGCCUCGAAAAAGGUUUGGCCAAAUGGUGUAUGGGCAUCUUGGUCCUAGCUCUCAUUUCAUCAUGGUGGUAGAAGAUGCGUUGUACAGCAUAAGAGCAGUACAAUGGAACCAGGGUAUCUUGGCAACCUAUGACUUUGAGAGUCUCUAUCCUUCCAUCAAAUUGGAACCCACAUGUUUAGCUUUUAUAGAUUUCUUUUGGAGAACGUACCACAACCCCACUAAGACCCGGCAUUCUUGAGAGAUUUGUCAUAUAUCAUAUGUCACAAUUUAUAUUUUUGUUUUAAAGGAAUCUUUUUUAAGCAGACCCAAGGAGUUCCUAUUGGCAAACAAUGGUAGAAGGAUUGCGGCCGGCUCUGAAAAUGUGCGUCGGGUAUGUAGACGAUAUCUUGGUGGUCUGAGAGGAUUAGAGUGGA